GCUCCCUCGGCGGCGGCGCCCCGAGCUCGGGGACACGCGGACCCCUGGUUAAGUUCUGGGCCACAGUGCGCUUGCGCAGGGGGCACCAGUGGCAGCAGUAGGGGAGGAGCCUGCGGAGUUUAGACUACGGUGAUAAGGAAAAUACGGAAAGGAUGAGAAAGGGAGUCGGCUCUGGCUCCGCUUGGACCUUUUGUAUGCAACUGUUAUGCUGGUAAUCCUUGGAAAAUAUCAGAGUACAUGAGAAGUAAGAGGAAAUUCAAGACUGGAAAAUGUUCUGAUUUUAAAAAGGAGAAAACAGUAGAUCUUGGAAAAUGCAGUCUGGUAAUCUUGACUUUUACUGAGCACCAAUCCAAACCCAUGAUGGGUUGUAUCCAAGCUAAUCUGUGAGCUCUUAGAAAAGGAACUGGUGUCCACUCUGCAGAAUCCUGCACUCUCCACAAACAAGUAAAUUAAGCCAGAUUAACCUUUUUGAAUGGAAAGUAGAAAAAUUGUCUUCUCUGGACUUAAGUCAUUUGAAAAAAAUAUCUUAGCCUGAGAUACUGCUCCAUUGUAAGCUCUUUUCUUGUCGGCAAGUCUCUUUCCAUUUAUGACAUCAAUCUUAUAAAAACAGUUAUGUUUUUAAUUACAUAGAUAAGAUGCAAAUACAUUUAAGUUGUAAAAAAUUCAACAAAUAAAAGUAAAGCUGAAGUCCCGCAACAUCCCCUCCCAAUCUUACUCUCCUCCUGUCAUCCUCUCUUAUUAGGUUACUGUGCGUUUUAUUCAGAUAUUUUUCAAUCUAUCUCUACACAUGUAUGACUCGUGGCAGUUGGGACUUUAUUCAGGCAACUGAAUACCCAACAAAAGAAAGCAGUUUAUUGGGCUCAUCCCAAAUUAAGCCCAGGGGCAGAGCCAGCAGCGCAGGGCAGCUCUGUGAUGUCAUCAGGAGCCCCGGCUCUUUCUGUCCUUCAGUGUUUGGCUUUUGUCCUCAGGGCCACAGGUGAUUACUGCUCCUCUAAGUAUGUGUCCGCAUACUAGACAGGAGAGGACAAAAGUCAUCUUCUUGUGAAGUUUUAUAUUUUUAUUCAGGAAAGGAAGGCUGCC
rnacentral:lncRNA from 1 species